rnacentral:rRNA from 1 species
UACGUAGGGGGCUAGCGUUGUCCGGAAUCAUUGGGCGUAAAGCGCGUGUAGGCGGCCCGGUAAGUCCGCUGUGAAAGUCGGGGGCUCAACCCUCGGAUGCCGGUGGAUACUGUCGGGCUAGAGUGCGGAAGAGGCGAGUGGAAUUCCUGGUGUAGCGGUGAAAUGCGCAGAUAUCAGGAGGAACACCAAUUGCGAAGGCAGCUCGCUGGGACGUGACUGACGCUGAGGCGCGAAAGCUAGGGGAGCAAACGGG